rnacentral:lncRNA from 1 species
GGUAACUCGGCCAAUAAACCAAGAUGGCCGCCAUGGCUAAAAAUAGAACAUGGGGGUAAAAUGCAGUUUUUGGCUUAUAACUCAAAAACCAAAUCAUUAAGAGCAAAUCUGACAGGAAGUAAAAUUGUUGAUCAGGUCACAAUCUAUCUGCCCUGGAAUUUUCAGAUGAAUCGGAUAAUCGGUUGUUAGGUUGCUGCCCCUGAAUUGGUAAUUUUGAGGAAAUUUUGCUGUUUUUUUUGUUAUUAUCUUGAAUAUUAUUAUAGAUAGAGAUAAACUGUAAACAGCAAUAAUGUACAGCAAAGUAAGAACUAAAAAUAAGUCAGCAUGACCAAAAUAGUCAAUUGACCCCCUAAGGAGUUAUUGCCCUUCAUAGUCAAUUUUUAACAAUUUUCUUAAAAUUUGAUGAUUUUUCAAUACAUUUUCCACAGAAAGUACUGUUAUAGAUAGAGGUAAUUGUAAGCAGCAAGAAUGUUUAGUAAAGUAAGAUCUACAAACACAUCACCAUUACUAAAACACAAUUUUGUCACGAAUCCAUCUGUGUCCAUUGUUUAAUAUUCACAUAGACCAAGGUGAGCGACACAGGCUCUUUAGAGCCUCUAGUUUUGAUAUAUUUUCUCAUGAUACAAUAUUUUAUUUUUGUAGCAAAACACGGACCCCAAAUAUAGGUACAAUCUAAAAUCUGCUUUAACUGGGGAUUUUGGUUAUUUUUAAAACUUUAAGCAUAACUUUUACAACUCUCUUAGUUAUUGACUUCUGAUAUAAUAUGUAUAUAAGAGUUCACAAAGUCAAACCAGUUAAUACAUGUAAAUUGUCAUGACUUAAUUUGCUGUCUUCAAACUGUCAGAUAUAGAGUUGUCAAAACUGCAUUGGGUGAAUGAAACUGUAUGAAUUGACUUAUUACAUACACUGUAAACCAAUUCAUUUAUUUAAACUAUAUCUCAUUUGUAUUUGUCAGGCCCGUGGUAGAUGACUUUAUUAAGCUGUAUUAUUUUUCUAUUUUCUAUUUGUUGUUGUAUAUCCCUAUAGGAAAUCCAAGUUUGACAUAUUUUGAACAUUUUAAUUUUUCAUGAGAGAGUCAUGUAAAUAAAGUCUCUCAUAAAAAUAAGAUGGUUCAUAGAAAUUGUACAUAAUAAUUAAAUGGAAAAGAUGAUGUUACAGCUAAUAGUUUGUGCAUAUUCAAGUUAUAUUCCUGUUUCAAAAAGUCCUAUAGAAAUCUCGAAUUUGAUCUGAAAUUGAAGUUUAAUUUGAAUUAUUAUCUUUCCUGACAAUUUGUUUCUGCAAUAAAAAGCAAGGGUAAGAAAAUUGCAUACAAAACUAAUACAGUGAAAUCUGUGUAUAAAUGUCAAUGGUAAAACCAUAGAAAUCUGACCUAAUGCUAGAGGUGACCCUUGAAAUAUAUAUAUUAAUUUCUGUGUCAUGUGGUCUCUGUUGAAGAGUUGUCUCAUUUGCAAUCAUACCACAUCUUCUUUUUUAUACAUAAGUAUAACUUAAGGUGGUACCUAAAAUUAGUUUGGCUCGUUUAAUUUUCAUAAAAUUUUGACAAACAUUUACUUUGAUCCUUUGACAAAAAUAUAAAAAUUUCAAAAUCUUUGAACCAUACACUUUCUCGGAAAAUUUGCAUUGGAUAUAUAGCAGUUUGACAAUCAUGAAUUUUGAUUAUUGAGAAGCUUAAAUUUCCUUAACAAUACAAUGUGAUUAAAACGUUUACCUGAUUUUACAGAGUUAUCUCCCUGUAGUGUUAGGUACCACCUUAGUGGGGCACUAAGAAUUUAACCUGAGAAGACAGGUUUUAACUUAUUAGAGGUUACCAUUAUAUAUAAAAAGAAGAUGUGGUAUGAUUGCCAAUGGGACCACUGUCCACAAGAGACCAAAUGACAUAGAAAUUUACAACUAUAUGUCAAUGUAUGGCCUUCAACAAUGAGCAAAGCCCAUACUGCAUACACAUUUUCUCUGCUUUCAAACUGAUUUUGGUAAGGAUUAUGCUGAAAGUAAUGAAUAAGGAGACUUUACAAUCAAAAACAUAAUGAAAACGAUAUACUAUAUGAAAAAAGUAACAUAACAACAAAAAGACCUUGUCUAUGUGUUGGAACAAUAGGCUUCUAUCAUAGAGAUGAUUUUAUUUCUUAUUUUACUCUAGAACAACUUUUUUAGAGUUUGAUGUUUUUAAGUAUGAACAGUGGCGGAUCCAGAACUUUUCCUAAGGGGGGCUCCGCUUCAGUCAUGCUUCAAUGAUUCCCUAUAUAAUCAACCAAAUUUUUCCCACGAAAGGGGGGGGCUCGGCCCCCCUGGAUCCGCCUAUGAUGAACAAAGGGCAUUAUAUUUGUGUACAGAAAUGAAUAGAUUCAACACUGUUUAUGUACAACAUUUUGUUUUAUUUAUAUGAUUAAUCAAUUUCAUGUUAGAAAAAAAUGAUUAAAUAAAUUGAUUAGGUUUAAUUUAGGAUUGGAGUGAUUUUCAACAGAUGAUUUCUUUUCCAUUUAUAAAUGGCAACCUCAUGUUUUAUAAUUAGAUUUACUUCAAACCUCUCACAACAAGUUUACUUGUGAAAUACAAUCUUUUGGUGCUUAAAAACAUUGAAUUCUUUUUGAAAGAAAAGUUCUAGAACUCAAAUGUAUAAACAACUUUAUUGUAUAAAGUUUUUGCAUAACUAUAUAUAUAAAUAUAUAUUAUACAUGUAUAUGUAUGAAAUCCAUAGUAUUGAUUAUUUUUACUUUUAUAUUCAGAUUUGUUUAAUGUUAUUGCUAUUUAUCAUCUUUGAGGUGAUUGGUCAAAUUGUAUAUGAACAUAGUAUAAAGUUGUCACAUGUUUAGACGUGUAUAAUAAAAUUUUAAAAUUUGAUAUGGGGACAUGGAAAUCACAUUAUCAUCUUUAACGACAGACAAAAUAACUGAUCUGAAAUGUACACCAUCUAUUUGCCACUACCCUGGUAUACACCCUGUACUGUUUUACAACCCUCAUUAAAGCCACGAGUAAAGGCACUACAUCAACCACGAAAGCUAUAUUUUUAUGUAUCCUAACUGGUCUAGUAGUCCAGGGCACUGGGCACUGUGCAUGCAGUGUUGCCACAAUGUCAAAGAAGCAAGGGUUUGAAUCCAGCAGAGGGAAGAAAAAAGUUGGCUAACACGAACAAUGGGCAUAAUUCUCCCGACUCAAAUUUUCUCCUAUUGAAAUUGAAGUUUUUUAUUUUAAUUGUUUAAAAUAAAAGAAAUAUUCUGAAAAUAUUUUAUACUAAAAAAAGAAUUUCAGUUUAUGUUCCAAACAGAAUAAAGGUAUAGAAUAUUUGAACAGAAUUAUAGCAUUGUUUUUGGCAAAGUUUUCUUAAAAAAACCUGUUAUGUCAGAAGUCACAGCAAUCUCUGAAUAUGCUGAUCAGUUCUUAGCUUUAUAAAAUGUGGAAAACAUGCAAUCAUGGAUUUGAAUAAAAGUAAACGAGAGGUAUUAUGCAGUUGAAAAUCAAUGUUCUAUCUCCAAUAGAAAUACCGGGAUAAAUUUCUGAAACAACAUUUAUUUCGUGUUUUACCCUUUCAAGAACAAUUCGGGGCUUUUAAAUUUUGCGAUUUUUUUAAUUAACUUGCUGCAGUUUAAUAAGGCAAGAUCCUAGUCUAAUAUAUUCACGACAAUUUAUUCGCAACGACUUAUAUUCACGUUAUUUUUCUACCCACGAAAGUCACGAAAAUAAAUCCCUCGCGAAAAUAAAUUGGCUUACAGUACUUUUCAUGUAAGUAAAAGAUUCAUAUACGUCUCAGUCAAAUAUUUAUGGAACUGCUCUUUUUAAGUUUACUAGAAAUUUGUACUACUUUUACCAAAUGGCAAAUACAUAAGAUUCACACAACA